GACGAACGCUGGCGGCGUGCUUAACACAUGCAAGUCGAACGGAAAGGCCCUGCUUUUGUGGGGUGCUCGAGUGGCGAACGGGUGAGUAACACGUGAGUAACCUGCCCUUGACUUUGGGAUAACUUCAGGAAACUGGGGCUAAUACCGGAUAGGAUCUCCUGCUGCAUGGUGGGGGUUGGAAAGUUUCGGCGGUUGGGGAUGGACUCGCGGCUUAUCAGCUUGUUGGUGGGGUAGUUGCUUACCAAGGCUUUGACGGGUAGCCGGCCUGAGAGGGUGACCGGCCACAUUGGGACUGAGAUACGGCCCAGACUCCUACGGGAGGCAGCAGUGGGGAAUAUUGCACAAUGGGCGGAAGCCUGAUGCAGCAACGCCGCGUGCGGGAUGACGGCCUUCGGGUUGUAAACCGCUUUCGCCUGUGACGAAGCGUGAGUGACGGUAAUGGGUAAAGAAGCACCGGCUAACUACGUG
rnacentral:rRNA from 1 species